AUAUAUACACACGACUGGAAUAGUAGCACCACAUAAAAGCUGACUAUUGUGGUGCUGCUUUUCCUGUCGUGUGUAUAUAUA
rnacentral:pre_miRNA from 1 species